rnacentral:rRNA from 1 species
CCCUUAGAUGUUCUGGGCCGCACGCGCGCUACACUGAUGCAUUCAUCAAGUGUUCCUUGGCCGGUAGGUCUGGGUAAUCUUUUGAAAGUGCAUCGUGCUGGGGAUAGAUUAUUGCAAUUAUUAAUCUUCAACGAGGAAUUCCUAGUAAACGCAAGUCAUCAACUUGCAUUGAUUACGUCCCUGCCCUUUGUACACACCGCCCGUCGCUACUACCGAUUGAAUGUCUUAGUGAGGCUCCUGGAUUGCGGAAGUCGCCUUGUGCUGACGGCCGCAAGAAGGGAUUCAAACUUGAACAUUUAGAGGAAGUAAAAGUCGUAACA